rnacentral:misc_RNA from 1 species
UUCUGAAUUUUAAAUUUUAAAUGAGUAAAUUACUAUUUAGUCCCUGUAUCUUAACGAAACUAACUACUUGGUUCCUGUAUUUUAAAAAAUACACUACUUAAUCCCUGUAUUUUGUUUCCAUUAAACUAUUUAGUCCCUUCCUCAAUUUUUCCGUUAGUAAAUAGUUCCACUAUUUUAGUGAAACUAAUUAGUUAGUCCUGACAUUUUGAAAACAUAAUAUUUUGAAAAAUAU